AUUGAACGCUGGCGGCAGGCCUAACACAUGCAAGUCGAACGAGUGGCGGACGGGUGAGUAAUGUCUGGGAAACUGCCUGAUGGUGGGGGAUAACUACUGGAAACGGUAGCUAAUACCGCAUACCAUCAGAUGUGCUCAGAUGGGAUUAGCUCGUUGGUGGGGUAAGGGCUCACCAAGGCGACGAUCCCUCGCUGGUCUGAGAGGAUGACCAGGCACACCAGAACAGAGACACGGGCCAGACUCCUAGGGUAGGCAGAAGGGGGGAAUAUUGCAAAAUGGGCGCAAGCCGGAUGCAGCCAUGCCGCGUAUAUGAAGAAGGGCGUCGGGUUGUAAAGUACUUUCAGCGGGGAGGCGUUACCCGAAGAAGAAGCACCGGCGAACUCCGUGCCAGCAGCCGCGGUAAUUC
rnacentral:rRNA from 1 species